rnacentral:rRNA from 1 species
GCGCGAAAACUUUACAAUGCUGGCUGUCCAGGUGUGUAAAAUACACCUGUUAGCAAGGGCCGGGCAAGACCGGUGCCAGCCGCCGCGGUAACACCGGCGGCCCGAGUGGUGAUCGUGAUUAUUGGGUCUAAAGGGUCCGUAGCCGGUUUGGUCAGUCCUCCGGGAAAUCUGACAGCUCAACUGUUAGGCUUUCGGGGGAUACUGCCAGACUUGGAACCGGGAGAGGUAAGAGGUACUACAGGGGUAGGAGUGAAAUCUUGUAAUCCCUGUGGGACCACCUGUGGCGAAGGCGUCUUACCAGAACGGGUUCGACGGUGAGGGACGAAAGCUGGGGGCACGAACCGG